rnacentral:rRNA from 1 species
AUUGAACGCUGGCGGCAGGCCUAACACAUGCAAGUCGAGCGGAUGAAGGGAGCUUGCUCCUGGAUUCAGCGGCGGACGGGUGAGUAAUGCCUAGCAAUCUGCCUGGUAGUGGGGGAUAACGCCCGGAAACGGGCGCUAAUACCGCAUACGUCCUGAGGGAGAAAGUGGGGGAUCUUCGGACCUCACGCUAUCAGAUGAGCCUAGGUCGGAUUAGCUAGUUGGUGGGGUAAAGGCCUACCAAGGCGACGAUCCGUAACUGGUCUGAGAGGAUGAUCAGUCACACUGGAACUGAGACACGGUCCAGACUCCUACGGGAGGCAGCAGUGGGGAAUAUUGGACAAAGGGCGAAAGCCUGAUCCAGCCAUGCCGCGUGUGUGAAGAAGGUCUUCGGAUUGUAAAGCACUUUAAGUUGGGAGGAAGGGCAGUAAGUUAAUACCUUGCUGUUUUGACGUUACCAACAGAAUAAGCACCGGCUAACUUCGUG